GGGCCUAUAGCUCAGCUGGUUAGAGCGCACGCCUGAUAAGCGUGAGGUCGAUGGUUCGAGUCCA
rnacentral:tRNA from 1 species